ensembl:snRNA U6 U6 spliceosomal RNA
GUGCUUGCUUUGGCAACACAUAUACUAAAAUUGGGACGAUGCAGAUUAGUUUAACGUGGUUCCCGUGCAAGGAUGACACGAAAAUUAAUGAAGAGUUCCAAUUUUAU